UACGUAGGGUGCGAGCGUUGUCCGGAAUUAUUGGGCGUAAAGGGCUCGUAGGCGGUCUGUCGCGUCAGGAGUGAAACUCGGGGCUUAACCCCGAGCCUGCUUCUGAUACGGGCAGACUAGAGGUAUGCAGGGGAGAACGGAAUUCCUGGUGUAGCGGUGAAAUGCGCAGAUAUCAGGAGGAACACCGGUGGCGAAGGCGGUUCUCUGGGCAGUUCCUGACACUGAGGCACGAAGGCCAGGGGAGCAAACGGG
rnacentral:rRNA from 1 species